CAGUGGCAUCAACGCAAAUUAUGCGGGGGGGUGGAUAGAAAAUGACCAUUAAAACCUUGUCGAAAACUACUCAAGCGUAACCUGUGCACAAGAU